GUUUCUAAAAAGUCAGUUGAGAUUUAGCCAAGCCUCCUCCUAGCUGUGACAGAAACUUCACAAAACAUCCUAUGGGAGCAGAUCCCUAGAGAGUGUGGCUGAGUCUCCUCAGCAUCUGUAGCCUUGGGAAAACUGGAUGCAUCAUCGACUCAGGGAACGCAAUCAGUGAGCGUCUUCUUGAAACGUUGAGACCCUGUAUGCGGUGGUUGGAAUGAGAACGGCCUUCCUAGACACUUAUCAUCUGCCCUGUGCGAUAGGAGGCUGGACCUUGGAGAUGUUUGCUCGUGGGUUAGAGCAGUGAUAGCCAACAGGCGCUCAUAGCUUCUGCUUUAAACCAAGCCCAGAGGAGAGAAGGGCUUUUGGAAAAGCAAAGUGAACGAAAAAUCCACUCUGAUGGGAUGUGAUGAGAGGUGGAGAAGCAAAGACUUGGGGCUUUUGAAAGUGAAGUGGAUUUUUGAAUGCUAAAAAAAAAAUCUGUAAUUUCCAGUUUUAAAGAACUGCCUAUAAGGAUAAUUGAACAAAUAAAAAGCUCACUUUUUGAACC
ensembl:processed_transcript 4930500F04Rik RIKEN cDNA 4930500F04 gene